rnacentral:rRNA from 1 species
AGGACGAACGCUGGCGGCGUGCUUAACACAUGCAAGUCGAGCGAACCUUCGGGUUAGCGGCGAACGGGUGAGUAACACGUGGGCAACCUGCCCCGAGCUCUGGGAUAACCCCGGGAAACCGGGGCUAAUACCGGAUAUGACCCGAGAAGACAUCUUCUCGGGUGGAAAGUUUUUCGGCUCGGGAUGGGCCCGCGGCCUAUCAGCUUGUUGGUGGGGUAACGGCCUACCAAGGCGACGACGGGUAGCCGGCCUGAGAGGGCGACCGGCCACACUGGGACUGAGACACGGCCCAGACUCCUACGGGAGGCAGCAGUGGGGAAUAUUGCGCAAUGGGCGAAAGCCUGACGCAGCGACGCCGCGUGAGGGAUGAAGGCCUUCGGGUUGUAAACCUCUUUCAGCAGGGACGAAGCGAAAGUGACGGUACCUGCAGAAGAAGCACCGGCCAACUACGCGUCAGCAGCCGC